rnacentral:siRNA from 1 species
CGUCGUCCGAUCGGUGAACACAUG